rnacentral:rRNA from 1 species
GGGAUUAGUGGCGAACGGGUGAGUAACACGUGGGCAAUCUGCCCUGCACUCUGGGACAAGCCCUGGAAACGGGGUCUAAUACCGGAUACUGACCAUCACGGGCAUCUGUGGUGGUCGAAAGCUCCGGCGGUGCAGGAUGAGCCCGCGGCCUAUCAGCUUGUUGGUGAGGUAAUGGCUCACCAAGGCGACGACGGGUAGCCGGCCUGAGAGGGCGACCGGCCACACUGGGACUGAGACACGGCCCAGACUCCUACGGGAGGCAGCAGUGGGGAAUAUUGCACAAUGGGCGAAAGCCUGAUGCAGCGACGCCGCGUGAGGGAUGACGGCCUUCGGGUUGUAAACCUCUUUCAGCAGGGAAGAAGCGAAAGUGACGGUACCUGCAGAAGAAGCGCCGGCUAACUACGUGCCAGCAGCCGCGGUAAUACGUAGGGCGCAAGCGUUGUCCGGAAUUAUUGGGCGUAAAGAGCUCGUAGGCGGCUUGUCACGUCUGUUGUGAAAGCCCGGGGCUUAACCCCGGGUCUGCAGUCGAUACGGGCAGGCUAGAGUUCGGUAGGGGAGAUCGGAAUUCCUGGUGUAGCGGUGAAAUGCGCAGAUAUCAGGA